rnacentral:lncRNA from 1 species
CUACACACUGUUUACACUGUGACCGUAUCUCCUAAACACUGCUUACCCUGUGACCGUAUCUCCUAAACACUGCUGACACUGUGACCGUAUUUCCUAAACACUGCUCACACUGUGACCGUAUCUCCUAAACACUGCUGACACUGUGACCGUAUCUCCUAAACACUGCUUACACUGUGACCCAAUCGCCUAAACACUGCUUACACUGUGAAUGUUAUUUUUUUUUUUCAAGUUAGUUUUAGUGUUUGCGGUUUCAUUGAUUUGUUAACCACUCUCCUCAAUCUUUUGUUCUGUGUUUUCUUACAUUUGUGGGAAGAACAAGGUGAUCCUCUCAAUUUUACACUCCUUUACUGAUGGUUCCGGUGCCAGAGACAAACCCACCACCAUUAACCUCGACCUGCUUAAACAGAAGAGGUUACCUUCUUCUAUAGAAAACGUCCAUAUGGCUGUUUUGGAACACAUGCUGCAGACAUGAUUUAACCUUCAUUUUCCAGUGAUUAAGAAUCGUGGACUGUCCAGGGAAAGAGACCAUUACAUUAUUAAGAUACUACCUUCCCAAUGUCAUACAGCCUUUCUUUAAAUGUGAUUGAACUUUCUCCUUCUUGGAUACUACAGUGUGACUUUUCUUAACCAGUUUCUAAAUUUGACUUUUAUAUUUUUUCCACUAUACAUAUAAAGUCUAAAUUGCAUAUUAACUUUGAAGAAAUAAAGUAUUUUGCUG